rnacentral:misc_RNA from 1 species
GAAAUGCGAUAAGUAAUGUGAAUUGCAGAAUUCAGUGAAUCAUCGAAUCUUUGAACGCACCUUGCGCUCCUUGGUAUUCCUUGGAGCAUGCCUGUUUGAGUAUCAUGAAAUCUUCAAAGUAAAUCUUCUGUUAACUCAAUUGGUUUCUACUUUGGUAUUGGAGGUCUUUGCAGCUUCACACCUGCUCCUCUUUGUUCAUUAGCUGGAUCUCAGUGUUAUGCUUGGUUCCACUCGGCGUGAUAAGUUAUCUAUCGCUGAGGACACUGUAAAAGGUGGCCAAGGUAAAUGCAGAUGAACCGCUUCUCAUAGUCCAUUGACUUGGACAAUACUUUUAUGAUCUGAUCUCAAAUCAGGUAGGACUACCCGCUGAACUUAAGC